ACAAAAGCCCUUUUUAGGGCUACCAAAUUUUUCGAAAAGAUGCCUU
rfam:Crassostrea gigas strain 05x7-T-G4-1.051#20 contig7179, whole genome shotgun sequence.